UACGAAGGGGGCUAGCGUUAAUCGGAAUUACUGGGCGUAAAGCGUGCGUAGGCGGUUCGUUAAGUCUGUUGUGAAAGCCCCGGGCUCAACCUGGGAAUGGCAAUGGAUACUGGCGAGCUAGAGUGUGUCAGAGGAUGGUGGAAUUCCCGGUGUAGCGGUGAAAUGCGUAGAGAUCGGGGAGGAACAUCAGUGGCGAAGGCGGCCAUCUGGGACAACACUGACGCUGAGGACGAAA
rnacentral:rRNA from 1 species